UUCCAGGAGAAUCUUUCUUUGAUGCGGC
rnacentral:piRNA from 1 species